CCUACCCAAGCUCACUCUUCUCUUUGCCUGCUGCCAUUCACGUAAGACGUGACUUGCUCCUCCUUGCCUUCUGCCAUGAUUGUGAGGCCUCCCCAGCCAUGUGGAACUGUAUGUACAUGAAGCCUUCCUGCAGACAUCCACAGUGAACAAGUCUAAGGACCAUAGCUUUCAUUGGCCCCCAAUGGAAGUUGCCAGGCAUUUUUAGUGAUGCACGGCCUCACCACUUAAAUCCAGUUUAUUGAAUCUGAAGUGAUUUGCUCCUCUUCCUGGACUACACAAUAAACACCCUCCAAUGUCCUCAGCCAUGCUCUUCCCAUCAUUUGGCUGGAAGGGGAGGAAUUCAAGGCCUUGGAGUGGGGGAAGCUACAAUUUGGAAGAAUCCUGGAGGCACAGAUUACCGUGAAGUAGCAUCCCCAUGAGAGUCUGUUUCUUCUGUGAUAUAAGCAAGAAAUAAAUGAAUUGUGCAAAUCCA